rnacentral:rRNA from 1 species
CUUCUGCCGGACCUGACUGCUAUCGGAUUGAUACUAAGCUAUGCGAGUCAUUGUAGUAAUACAAGGCAGACGGCUCAGUAACGCGUAGUCAACCUACCCUAUGGACGGGGAUAACCUCGGGAAACUGAGAAUAAUACCCGAUAGAACAUUAUGCCUGGAAUGGUUUAUGUUUCAAAUAAUUUAUUGCCGUAGGAUGGGACUGCGGCCUAUCAGUUUGUUGGUGAGGUAAUGGCCCACCAAGACUAUUACAGGUACGGGCUCUGAGAGGAGUAGCCCGGAGAUGGGUACUGAGACACGGACCCAGGCCCUAUGGGGCGCAGCAGGCGAGAAAACUUUGCAAUGUGCGAAAGCACGACAAGGUUAAUCCGAGUGGUUUCUGCUAAAGGAACCUUUUGUCAGUCCUAGAAACACUGAUGAAUAAGGGGUGGGCAAGUUCUGGUGU